rnacentral:rRNA from 1 species
GGGGAAUAUUGGACAAUGGGGGCAACCCUGAUCCAGCACUGCCGCGUGUGUGAAGAAGGCCUGCGGGUUGUAAAGCACUUUCCUGAGGAAAGAACACGGGUGGGGUGAAUAGCCUCAUCAACUGACGGUACUUCAGGAAUAAGCACCGGCUAACUCCGUGCCAGCAGCCGCGGUAAUACGGAGGGUGCAAGCGUUGUUCGGAAUUACUGGGCGUAAAGGGCGCGUAGGCGGCCUGCUAAGUCGAACGUGAAAUCCCUGGGCUCAACCCAGGAACUGCGUCCGAUACUGGUUGGCUUGAAUCCGGGAGAGGGAUGUGGAAUUCCAGGUGUAGCGGUGAAAUGCGUAGAUAUCUGGAGGAACACCGGUGGCGAAGGCGACAUCCUGGACCGGUAUUGACGCUGAGGCGCGAAAGCCAGGGGAGCAA